rnacentral:rRNA from 1 species
CCUGCCGAAAGGCGGGCUAAUACUGGAUAGAGCGAUGGAAUCCGUAAUUGGGUUUUUCGGGAAAGGGAGGAAGCAAUUCCCUUCGCUUUGGGAUGAGUCUGCGUCUCAUUAGCUAGUUGGUGGGGUAACGGCCUACCAAGGCAUUGAUGGGUAGCUGGUCUGAGAGGAUGAUCAGCCACACUGGAACUGAAACACGGUCCAGACUCCUACGGGAGGCAGCAGUGGGGAAUCUUGCGCAAUGGACAAAAGUCUGACGCAGCCACGCCGCGUGAGUGAAGAAGGCCUUCGGGUUGUAAAGCUCUGUCGAGUGGGACGAAAAUUCUAGGAGUGAAUAGCUCUUAGAACUGACGGUACCGCUAAAGGAAGCACCGGCUAACUCCGUGCCAGCAGCCGCGGUAAUACGGAGGGUGCAAGCGUUGCUCGAAAUUAUUGGGCGUAAAGG